GGAUGCUGGCUGGGGCUCAUCGCUGCACACGGGCCUCCAUGAACACGCGUCAGAAUCAGGCAGCCUCCGGCCUGCUGCGCACGUCGUUCCUGCACACCGAGGCUGCUGUGGGUCCAGCUUCCCCAGAGACCCCAGCCCUGGGCUCCGCCAGCACCACCCACCCCGCUCCAGCCCAGGGAUGGAGCCGCCGCCUUCUCUCCUGGCCUCUGAGUUGCCUCCCAGCCCCCAUCUGACUUCUCAGCUCUCCCGUCCCCUCCGUAACCCACUCCCUGCCUCAGUCUCCUGUGUGGUAAAUACACGAGUUCUCCAGUGAGGCCCCAACUGCUGCAUCCUUGGAUUAAUUUAAGGAUCCAAGGACAGAGGCCAGAGAAGCCUGCAUGGACCUGGGUAUCAGACGCAGAAGUAAUGGAGCAUUAGUCACCUUAGUCACCACGUUCUCAGUCAGCGAGGUCAGGUGCACGUCCAGACCUGAUGGACGCUCCUUCACAGGGACCUCCGGUGCGCAAACAGGACUCCAUGGAGAGCAGCUCGGGGGCAAGGACAGGCUUCUCUAAAGCAUGGUGAGGCACCACUGUCACUGAGGAUGCACGGUCCUCUCCUUGCCCUGGAAGCAGAGAACGGGAAUGUGCAGCCACAGCUCCUCCUUUCUCCAGACGCCCCUCAGCAAGGAAGAGCGGACCCAGACCGGUGGGUGCUAUUUGCUCCAGACUCCCCAGCGCCUAUGCGGCUGAACCCUAAGGAUUCCCACGCGGCUCCAGAGGGACGUUUCCAAACACACGCCCAAGUCCUCCAGAAGGUGACUUGAAGAUAAAAGUCCUAAAUGAAUGCAGAGCAGUUUCAACACAUGAGUUCACAUACAUGCUCCCAACUGUUUCUAAAUGUUAGGGGAAAUCCCAACCUUUGUCUUUGAAAAACACCAGAGUGUCUUGUUUGUGAUUUUAAAACACUCAAAGACAAA
rnacentral:lncRNA from 1 species